rnacentral:lncRNA from 1 species
GUUCAAACAAAUCAUUAGUUAAAAUGCUUACAAAUGUCAUUAAACUUUUUUUCCCGGCUUCGCUACCGUUCGGACAUUCUUGCUUACUGCUCUGCGCUUUGCUCACUAUUUCUGUACUUUUCUCAGAUUUUUCUAAGAUUUUUACUCCAGCAGAUCAGCACAGUGCUCAGACAACACAUCUUUGGACCGGAAUAAUUCUACAAAAAAAGGGGACAAAAACCUUAUCUCCAAAUGACUACAGCCCCAUUGACUCCCUCUGCCAAUGCAUUGAUGAAAUAAACAGUUGGAUGAGCCAAAAUUUUCUUCAGUUAAACAAGGAUAAAACUGAAGUCAUUGCAUUUGGAAACAAAGAUGAAGUUCUCAAGGUGAAUGCUUACCUUGACUCUAGGGGUCUAACAACUAAAAAUCAAGUCAGGAAUCUUGGUGUGAUUCUGGAGACAGACCUUAGUUUCAGUAGUCAUGUCAAAGCAGUAACUAAAUCAGCAUACUAUCAUCUAAAAAACAUUGCAAGAAUUAGAUGUUUUGUUUCCAGUCAAGACUUGGAGAAACUUGUUCAUGCCUUUAUCACCAGCAGGGUGGACUAUUGUAAUGGUCUCCUCACUGGCUGUCACAAAUCAAGCCUCUGUGGCUCCCUCCGAUCAACACCAGAGGGAACCGUCACCGGUGUACUAACUGUUCUUAAGGACUUCAUUUCCCAUCACCCCAUGCCUGAGACUGAUUACCUGCACAGGUGCUUAUCAUUAUCUUGACUAUUUAAGCAGUGCCUACCUUACCCUCAUUGCGAAGUCUUGUUUUUGCUAUUGCUGACAUUUCUGAGCGGUUAUACCUUGUUUGAUUACCUGUUGCCUACCUGGAUUGUCUAGACCCAUCUGACUGUUCGCCCGCAGCUGGAAUCAGCUUCCAGAAGAGAUCAGAUGUGUUAAAACAUUAGUCACAUUUAAAUGCAGACUCAAAACUCAUCUGUUUAGCUGUGCAUUUAUUGAAUGAGCACUGUGCGACGUCCCAAC